GACGAACGCUGGCGGCGUGCUUAACACAUGCAAGUCGAACGGAAAGGCCCUGUACUUGUGGGGUGCUCGAGUGGCGAACGGGUGAGUAACACGUGAGUAACCUGUCCUUGACUUCGGGAUAACUCCAGGAAACUGGGGUUAAUACAGGAUAGGAGCUCCUGCAGCAUGGUGGGGGUUGGAGAGAUUCGGCGGUUCGGGAUGGAAGCGCGGCCUAUCAGCUUGUUGGUGGGGUAGUGGGUUACCAAGGCUUUGACGGGUUGCCGCCCUGGGAGGGUGACCGGCCACAUUGGGCUUGGGGUGCGGCCCAGACUCAUACGGGAGGCAGGAGUGGGGGUUAUUGCGCGAUGGGCGGAGGCAUGAUGCAGCGACGCCGCGUGGUGGAUGACGGCCGUCGGGGUGGAAACCGCGUUAGCCUGGGACGAAGCGUGAGUGACGGUAAUGGGUAAAGAAGCACCGGCUAACUACGUG
rnacentral:rRNA from 1 species